UAAGUUCGAAGGAAAUGGGGAGCAGACGUGAGACCAGGGGGGAGAUGGUUAACAGAGAAAUAUGCUUUGAAUUUGAGACCUCACAUUUGAUUUCCUGAUACGAGGACACAUUCCAUGCGCCACAUAUAUAACGCAAUCCUUUAUUAUUGAACUCAUUUUAAAUUUAAAUUUACUAUGACUUUGUGUUCGUUUUAUAAAAUUAUAUGAUAGUAUAAGGUGUGCAUAUAUAUGUGACCUUAAAACAUACACGUAUCACUUGUGCAUAUAUAUGAAACCGUAGCUUACAAUAAAAUUGUAUAAAUUUGUGUCUCUUCUUCGUUCAUAGAAGACAGUUAGAGCUCUAUAGCCCGACCUUUUUGCAAGGGCCAAACCGCAAAAUCUUUCGUAUCUUCAUUUUUUUUUAUUUCUUGUCAUAUUUUGUUACAUACUCCCUCCGUUUCAUAUUGUAAGUAGUUUUAGAAAAAUGUUUUUGUUUCAAAAUGUAAGUAGUUUUCGUAUUUUUAGGUAAUUUUUACAUUUAUUGAAUACAAUGUGACCAAUCAAAUUAAAUAGACUUAUUUUUUAUUGGUUAAAUUAUAUCUAGCCUAUUUAUUAUAAAAUAUUUUUUAAAAACAUAAUAAUUUUCUUAAUUUUCGUGCUUUUAGCCUAACUACUUAUAUUAUAAAACGGGGGGAGUAUUAUUUUCACACAGACAAGUAUUUUAUUAUGUCAAAACGUACAUAUCUAGAAGUUUGUCUACCUUAAAUUUUUUUGGAUAAUCCUUUUUCAUGCGGAGAAAUUCAAAUCUAGUCCAUUUAUAAUCUUCAUGGAAGCACCCCAAAUCUAGUCCUUUUUCAAAUCCUUUUAACAAAAAAGUAUAUUUUUGAACUUUGAUCUAUAUAAAACUUUUUGAGCACAACCAUUUCUAUACUCUCUUAGACACUACAAAAAAAGGGGCUAUUGUUACAAUUUUUUGAGACUAAAAUUUCCAGUCCCAUAUUUGUGACAUAAUAAAAACUAUUUUGUUACUUAUAUUUUACGUUACAAAAAAGUAGCUUCUUCGUCACAAUAUCGUGACUGUUUGUUUUGUAACAAAAUGUUGUCACAAUUAGUGACAUAUAUAAGACGAAAAUAAACGUAAUAAUUGUCGUGACAAAAUGGUGACUACGUUUACUAUUACCAAUAUGACGGAUAUGUGACUGUAUCUUGUGUCGUCGUUUAUGACGAUAGAAAAAUUAAAUGGUUGUCACGAAUUCCUACGAAACAAUGACAAAAAAAUUGUUGUAAGUUGUGACUUAAAAAUAUAGCAAAUACGUUAAAAUAGCUGGUUUCGCAUGUACUACAUGUCGAGACAUUAGUCAAUCAAAAUGGUCAAACUAAAAAUCUCGAAGAUGUAAAAGAAGAAGAAGCGGGAUUAAGAUCAGAUGCUGAUGAUGAAAAUAAUGAUUAUGAGUUAACAGAUGAAGAAUCUAACUAAAUUUGGUGUUAUAGUUUUAUAUUUUAUAUGAUUAUGGCGUUGGUUUUGGAACUAAAUUUAAACUAUUUUAUUUAUUUAAUCUUUGAUGUCUUUUAAGUUUUGAGAUGGUUUAUAUAACCGAAAGGCAGCUUGCAUUGUUCAUUUACUUUUUUUCUUUCGACUGACCCUUUUUAGAUCGGAACGAAGAAGAAAUGAAGAAUCAAUCCAAAUCUCGACCAGAGACUAAUAGAGGAAGAGAUCGAAUUUGCUUCUUGAUUUCUUCUUAGAUUGGCACGUAAAGCAGGUUCAGUGUUGGAGAUCAAACCAUGAAUUCCGAAGCCAGGCACUUCACUGUGGGACUCUUCGUUUUGGUUCAAAUCAGGCGUUCUUCUGUGGAGAAGAAUGGCAUGCAGCAGCUUCAGUCUUCUUUGAUUGGGACUGCUCGUAUGGGUGGUUCUUCAGCUUUCAUUGGCAAAGUGAAGAGAUAAAAAUCAUUGUUUCCUGUUUUGAUUUUGAACUAUCUGUGAAUGUGUUUUUUUUUGUAACUGAGGCUAACUAUCUACGCUUGAUUUGAAUUUGAUUAAAAAGGUUAACUAUAAAAACAUUUUUAGCUGUUACUUGAAACAUUUUACUUUUAUGAAAUCAUCAUUUUGAUCUUGUGGCAGGCGAAGAUAUUACAUUACGGUUCGAUAAGUCUUAUCACAGUGCAAGUCAGCUCACAUAGCUGCAGCAAAGACUGCUAAGGAUGCUGGUGCGAUCCUUUCAUAUGACCCUCCUAACCUUAGGAUCCCCUUGUGGCCUUGUGCAGACAACACUAGGGAUGAAAUCUUCAGAAUUUGGGAUACUGCUGAUAUUAUUAAGAUUUGUGAAGAGGAGAUUGAGUUUCUAACAAAAGGAGAAGAUUAUGUCAAUCUUGGUUUGUUUGCUUCAGGAAUAUAUAAAAGCUAUGAUUUCAUCUGUGAGGCGGAAAGGGGGACCUUAUACUAACCAAGGUGAUGAUCUCUCCCAUGGGAAAAGACUCGAAGAAGUUAUAUGGCGUCUGUUGCAGAUUCUGAACGAAUUGCUUUUAUCUUGUGCCAGAUGCGUCCACCAAUGAUGUUAGGCGGUCGCUUGUUUGGAAGAUCAUCUCUUCAAUCUGUUGGUCUCCAAAGACAGAGGGAAGGAGUUGCUGCAAAUGCCCAACCACGUGAACAAAGGGAAGAGACCUGUUGGACGAGAUUCUCGACUCUCGAGUGCUUCAUCCAGAAAGAAUGGAGCUAAAUGUAUCUGUACAGGUUCAAGAACAACACUGAAAUAUCAACAGCCACAGAUCAUGCUCACGUUCCUAUGCUAAAGGUCAAGAUAAUCUGGUGGCAAACAACGAAGACUCUUCCUUCAUUUCUGUGAUGAAGAAAACCCACCAGAAAUCUGAUGGAACAUAUGUUGAUGAAAGAGCAUGCUUAGUUGCAGAAAAAUAUGAUGCAUAUGUGCAAGAAAGAUUGUCACUGGUUGAGGCUUCUAAUGGAGAGGUUUUGACAGAGCCUCUUACUGUCGAGGAAAGAAAUGAAAUCUAUGUGAAGGUUGCUGGAAUAUCAAAACAAGGUCGGGUGUUUGGACUUGGAUCACUUCAAUGUGGAGUUUAUAUGCCACUAGAUGGUUCUACAGUUUCACCACAAGCUGUUGAAGAUGAUGGUACUUUAACUCACUGAGCAAAGAGCUGGAGUCAGACUUGCAAAAGAGUAAUGAAGAAAAGGUUCAGUUUCAGAAUAGGAUUCAAGCAAUAGAGAAAAUAUUGAUGUCUGCUUUUGGUGAAAAUGUGUUGACUCCAACAGAUACUACCACAGCCAUAUGAAGUUGUUUCUCAGUUUGGUGUUUUAGCUUGGUGUUUCUAGUUUGGUUUUCUUUUGUUUACUAAGCAGUUUCAGUUUACUUAGUAAACGAAUUGUUGUUUUGUGCUUAUGUUUAUUUAAAUAAAAUUCAAGCAGUUCUAUGAGAAAUUUAUGUAUAUCAUAUUAUUUGCAAAUUUGAUAUUUGAUUUCAGUUUUUAUUUAUAGUUUCUAGUGUUCCAAUAAGUUAAUAAUAAAUUAAAAAUAUGUGACAUAUUUUAAAUAAAGAAAAGUUGCGUUAUGAAAUUGUAACCAAUUCAAACUGAAAUGUUACCAUUUUACGGUCAUAGUUUGUGACAUUUAGUUACAUUGCUUUCGUAAUAAAAAGUGACAAAUUAAUAACAUAAUAAAUGUUACAAAAUACAACAAUUUUGUAACACAUUUAUAGUAUGUAUUGAAGACGGAUACAUACCUUUUUUAGUCUUUGAUUAUUACGUUUUGUGACUGAUUUUUUGGUUAUAAUAGGCUACAAAAUUAAGACUUUAAAUUAGUUAUGAAUAGUGACGGUUUGGGACAAUAUAUAAUGUCAGAAUUGGUGACGGUAAAAAGACUAUUAUGUCGUCUAUAUUAGUGACAUUUUGUGACAAUAGAUUCGUCACUACAGGUGACGUAGUUGUCACAUUAAACAGUCACAAAUUAAGACAGUUUGAGACAAUUUGAUAAGUAAGAAAUUAUAACGGUCAUGUUACUAAUAUACAACGUAACUAUGUGUGACGAUUUGAAAUUAGUCGCAAGAAAUUGUGACAUUUUUGUUACUCCAUAACAUUUGUGACACACGUAUUGCAACCAUUAAUAAUUGGUAACAAAAACGUAACAAUGACGAUAUUGUUACAAAUUCUUUUCUAUUGUGACGGAAAAUUUUGUCACAAUACCCUUUUUUUCUUGUAGUGAGAGAAAUUCGAAUCAUACUUUUUUAAUAUCGAAUUAAACUUCAGAUAAAUUUUUUAUUUUAUCUAUAUUGAUGUAUCAUAGAAAUGUAAAUCAAGCAUUUUUAAUUAAUCAUAUUAUAUAUUAGUGUCCGUUUUUAAUUGACUUGACAUUUAAGAAUAGAAACCCAACCAAGUGAACCAAUGGUGUUAAAACAAGAUUUAAUUGAAGUUUUUGCUUUAUAUAAAUAGAAGAGAGACUAUACUAGAAUUAUAAGAAUAUGGUGUUUGAUAAAAUUGCUAACCAUGACACGAAAAGUCUUUUUUUUGGCCAAAAUAGUUACAUUGGAUGGUCUUUUUUUUGGCCAAAAUAGUUACAUUGGAUGCUUUGAAUCAUUAAGAUGAAUUGUUAGCUUUUGUUU